rnacentral:misc_RNA from 1 species
GGGAAAUCCCCGUGGGCGCCGAAGAUUCAGGCAUCUAGAGUUUGACGAAGAUGAUGAUGAUAAUGAGCAUGAGGAUGGGGAGGGGAAUCGUGUGAGUAGUGAGCCGACUGAGCUUGAUUCAGUCAUUAGGAGGAGGAGAAGUUCAGCUACCAUUCUUCAGUUGCUCCAAGGUAUCAGAGCUGGAAUGGCAACUGCUGAAUCAGAGAAUAGUUACGAGGGAGAGAGGAGCAGAGAAAGAGAGCGGGUUAUUCUUAUAAAUCCUUUCAAUCAGACCAUUGUAGUUCAAGGAGGUGAGAAUCAAAAUCAAAACCCCAUUGGGUCGCUGGGUGAUUAUUUCGUAGGACCUGGUUUGGAUUUGUUAUUGCAACAUCUAGCCGAAAAUGAUCCCAACAGAUAUGGGACUCCACCUGCACAGAAGGAGGCCGUUGAUGCGCUGCCCACCGUGAGGGUUGAAAUUCAGGAUAGCCGUUUGCAAUGUUCAGUGUGUUUGGAUGAGUUUGAGGUGGAUGAAGAAGCCAAGGAGAUGCCAUGUAAGCAUAAAUUUCAUACAGGUUGUAUUCUGCCAUGGCUGGAGCUGCAUAGUUCUUGCCCAGUUUGUAGGCAUCAAUUGCCUGGGGAUGAAUCCAAGCGUGAUCCGGAUGGUGGGUCUGCUAGGUUCAUGGGCGACCUUAGUAAUAAUGCUAAUGCUGGUAGUGACAGCGGGGAGAUUGAUGGGAGAAAUGCAUCUGGGACUGGGAGAAGGUUUUCUUUUCCGUGGCCCUUCAAUGGCUUGUUUUCUUCGCAAGGAAACUCCUCGGGUGGAAGUGCAUCUGAUUCUCAUUCUCAAAGGGACCACACUUCCAUUUGAAUAUAUGUGUUUGAUAUCCUGCUUCUCCUCUGCUUGCUUGCUUAUUGUAUGUAUUUGUAUGUAUGUUUGUUAUACUUAUAUUAUACUAUACACAGAUGUUUUGCACAAUCUCUCUUGC